rnacentral:ncRNA from 1 species
GCGCAAGCGGGAGGCUCUGACACGCGGUCCAAACCCGGCCGCCGGGACCGCGCCGAGCCACUGGCGAGACCGCCCCGCAAAGGC